CCGUCGGAACUUAAAUAAUAAGAACUUAACCUUGCUUAUUUCAUUUUCACUUUGUUUUUAUUUUUAUAUUUCGUUUUUAAUAAGGUUUUUAAGUAAUUAAUAAUGUGUAAAAUGAAAUUCGAGUGUUCCGAAUGUCAAACAUUUUUCAGUAAACUAUCUAACUUAAGAAAGCACGCGAGGAAAUUCCACCCAAAGGAGGUAACAAAAUUGGCGCCUUUACGAUAUAAAAAAUGUUCCCCUGAUUCGGAUAAUAUUGGCUGCAAGUUAUGUGACAAGGUGUUUUUACGCAAAAAUAGUUUAAAUAGACAUAUCAAAACAAUGCAUCAUGAAACUCUAGUCAAAAUCACAAGAGUGACUAAAAAAUGUGCCUUGUGUGAUUAUAGGGAUAUUAUUAAAAAAAAUCUAAUUAUACAUUACGAAAGCGUACAUGAAAUUCGCUUGAAAUGGCAUCAGUUGAUGUUUUCUACAAUGGAUGAGUUCAACCAAUGGAAAACGCAAAUGGAAAACAAAACAUAUUCCAAAUUUAUUAAAAAAAGCACAACAGUAUCUAAAUUGCACACAUUCAUUCAGUAUAAUUGCCAUCGUUCGGGAACAUUUAUCCCAGAAGGAAAAGGAAAACGUCACCUCAAGACACAGGGCUCCAGCAAAAUUAAUGCUUACUGCCCAGCUAACAUACAAGUAUUUAUUGAAAAUGAUCACCAGUUAAGUGUCAAAUAUCUGGAAACCCAUGUUGGACAUAAACUUGAUAUUGGUCACUUACAUUUAACAGAAAUGGAAAGAAAAAACAUUGCUUCCAAGAUUGCCCUUAACAUUCCAUUUGAUGCUAUAUUGGAUGAGAUCCGAGACUCAAUUACUGAUGAUACUCCCAAAAGGAUACACCUUACAACAAGAAAAGAUCUUCUAAAUAUACAAACUAGUUUUAAUUUGUGUUCUUCAUCAAUUCACAAUUCUAAUGAUGCCAUUAGUGUCGAACCUUGGGUGGGAAAGGAGAUCAAUGAAACUGCUCUUAGUGAUACAUCAAUUGAAGACCGAAAACAGCAUCUUUUUCAAAGGUAUCAUGAAAUUUUAUCAAGUUCUAACUCGCAUGAAAAGUUGGAUGUAGUACAAAAUGUUAUAAAUUCUCUAACCCCAGUCUUGGCCGCGGUUAAAUCAAUGAAAGAAAGCUAAAUUUCCCAAUUUCUGAUACAAAGAAACUUAGUUUUUUUUUACUUAUAUGCAGAUAUUUAACAUAUAGAGGGAUAUGUGCACAAAAUUAUGGCUGUGCACCUUAAGAAGCAUAAUAAUUGUUAUUAUGCCAUGAAUACUACUUUCUCUAUAAGUAUGUACUGAUGUGGUCUGUAAUUUUUAGGUUAAAAGUUUGUAGUUCGUAUUUAAAUAUUGGAAGUUUUUGUAGGGAUACAGUGCGUCCAGAUUUGGUCUUUCGUUAAUGUAUUACGAACUUGGAAACUACUAUAGAAAAAGUUUUAGAUCAGUGUACGAAUUUAUCUUUCUUGGUUUUGUUGGUUGGUUUUUGGUUUUCCAGAACAUUUCCAUUCGAACCCGGAUUUUUAAUUUUGGAUUUUAAGAACUUCUGCUCUGCCAAAACCAAUAAGUAUCACACUUAUUGGAAAAAGUGUCAAAGAAAGCAUGUCCUGUCUCUCUUGCACAUUAAUUUCAUAUAAAAAGUAACAAAGAUAUAAAGCUCUCUAAUAAGUACAAUACAUCAAUGGUUUUGGGAUAUAAGAAUAUAUUAAAAAAUCCAGGUUCUAUUUGGAAAAUAAAGUUGAUGAUGGUUCAAAAAAGGGAAACAUUAUUAACUUGAAUUUCAAAAAUUGACUUUAAUAAUUUUUUCUCCAUUGUACCUUUUUUCUAAUAGUUUCUAAGAUCCCAAUACAUUAACCAACACAUAUGGACAUAUACUGUAGGGUUAUUUCGCAACUUCUUAAUAUAUUUUAACGGGGUUUGAUGGGAAUGACAACUCGUCGCACUACAUACUCGUGUUUAAUCAAAUUUAUGUAAAAAACAAAACCAAACGUUACAUAAUGAAGAAACAAUAACAAAAAAGAAAUAAAACUUCCAUGGAAACGAUAACCAAUCUGACGACUGACAGUUUUCAAAAGUCUGCGUCACGACUAUCCUUGGUCCGUGACCGUUACAAUAUAAGAGGCGGUCGAGAUUAAAUAAAAUUCCGAUAAUUAAGAAACAACAAUUCAAUUAUUUGUAUAUCAUUAGUAUCAAGAAAAAAUCGAGAAUAUAAAUUUCAAAUCCAAUAUCCAAGUAUUAUUGUACGAAAAGUACGUACAUGCAUGAGUCGAUAUUCGAAUUUAACGCCAUUUAAAACUACAUAUCGUAAUAAAAAUUAGGAGCCACGAACCCCGGCUGGCCAAAUACUAUUUCCACCACAAAGGUAUUCCUUGGUGUAGCGCAGUGGCCAUGGUAGUGGAACACUCGCUAUAUCACAGAAUACUAAACCAAGUUGUUGGAUUCUGUGGCUGUGUGUAAUAGGUUAGAGUAGUAUUUAAAACAGU